CGCGUAGGCGGCUGGCUCAGUCGGGCCUGUAAGUGCGGGGCUCAACCCCGUGAUGGGCUCGGGACGGGCUGGCUGGGGCGCGGUCGAGGGAGACGGAAUGCCGGGUGUAGUGGUGAAAUGCGUAGAGAUCCGGCGGAACACCGGUGGUGAAGGCGGUCUCCUGGGCCGAGGGCCGACGCUGAGGCGCGAGAGCGUGGGGAGCGAACC
rnacentral:rRNA from 1 species